AGAAUCAACGCUGGCGGCGUGCCUAACACAUGCAAGUCGAACGAGUAAAGUGGAGCAAUCCAUGAGUAAAGUGGCGACCGGGUGAGUAACACGUGACUACCUACCCUUGAGUGGGGGAUAACCUCGGGAAAACCGAGGCUAAUACCGCAUAAUAUCGAAAGAUCAAAGGAGUAAUCCGCUUUUGGAGGGGUCGCGGCUGAUUAGCUAGUUGGUAGGGUAAUGGCCUACCAAGGCGAAGAUCGGUA
rnacentral:rRNA from 1 species